UCUAAACGACUCUCGGCAACGGAUAUCUCGGCUCUCGCAUCGAUGAAGAACGUAGCGAAAUGCGAUACUUGGUGUGAAUUGCAGAAUCCCGUGAACCAUCGAGUCUUUGAACGCAAGUUGCGCCCGAAGCCAUUCGGCCGAGGGCACGCCUGCCUGGGCGUCAC
rnacentral:rRNA from 3 species